GAAAAAGCAACAACAUUAAAAGAGAUCAAAUCAACCCUCAUCAGUUUACUCACUUGGAUACACGCAUACAUUCUCCUCAUAAAGAUUAAUGAUACCCUAAAUUGUCCCUUUGAUGAACUGGUGAAAUGGAGAUGACAUGCUGAGAUUUUUCCUGGGCAGAUAUGAAAGAGUCUGCAGCUGUUAUUACCAAAAACAUCAAGUAAAUGUGUUUUUUUCUGUGAUAGAGUUGCAGAGGAGGAAGCGGUGGAGCGCUUUGAAGAGGAAGGCCCACUCGCCUCUAACUGAACUGAUCACAGACAAGGCAGAGACUACUGCUGCACGCAGAACAAUGGACUCCUGGACUUCUGUUCAGUAACUGAGUUGAGCUUCCCCACUUUACUUUCAU